ACUACUAGCAUUCUGGUUUUGGGGAUCUGUUCUGAUCACUGUUUCUCAAUAUUUUAUUUCAGCCAGCAAGCUAAAGAGAGCACUGCUGAUGAAUUCUGGAUCCAUAAGCAAAUUAACUAGGUGGAGGGCUUAAAGUAUUGCGAUUUCAUGGAGGAUUGAGGAGUUUGGGCGCUUACAUGGUGAGACCUGUGCCUUCAGAAGAUCAGUUUGGAAGCUGAGUAGAGGAUGGAUGAUAGAGGGAAGACCUGAGUCCAGGAGACCAACCAGAAG
rnacentral:lncRNA from 1 species